UUAGGAAAAAGGGGCUUGAACCCUCGCUCAAGAACUCAAAAUUCUUGGUGCUCCCAUUACACCACUUCCCA
rnacentral:tRNA from 1 species